rnacentral:lncRNA from 1 species
GAAAAAGGAAUUUAACACUGCCAAAAAUUGCCGUCCAUGUAUGUUCCUCGAUGAAUUGGAGGGUUCCUAGAAAAAAAAUGAAAGCAAAGGUCACACACAAGUUAUAAUUAGGAAAUUAUACUUGUUGACUAGAAUGAAAAAGAGAAUUUAAGAAACAUUUUUUUAUCUAAAAUCAGAAGCCAAAGUUAAGAAACACUUGGUGUAAUCUUGAUGAAAAUGUAACCAUCUAGAGAAGAAUCUGCACAAAAUAAGCUAUUGGUGAGAGAGAGACAGAGCUGUCAGAAGUUUAAAAC